rnacentral:lncRNA from 1 species
GCACAACGCAGCUCCGCCCUCGCAAAGGCACAGCGCGGGCGCAGGCGCCCAGAGGCGCACAGGAGACCUCAGGCCCAGACUCCACUCCCCAGCUGUGAAAGGACUGCUGGCCAGACCCCCAAGCUAGCCCGCCAGGCCUCCAUAGAGCUGCCCAGCAUGGCUGCAUCCAGUACCAAGAGUUGGUGGGAGACGGGUGAGGUAUAGGCUCAGUCUGCGGCCAAGACUCCGUCCUGCAAGACUCUUUGGCAGUUGCACUGGGUACUGGCUGAGUUCUGGAAAACAGGAAUGUGAGCAGAGUGCUGCAGAUCUCCUUGUCAGGAGCACCUAAGAACUGGCAUGACUCUACACCCUCUCUCCUUCUGCAAUGACCUCGUGUCAAGAUGGCAGACCCGCAGAGAUGAAUGUGCCUGGAUACCUGAGUCACCAGGUGGAGGAAACUCCCAUUGACAUGCAUCACACUCCACAUAUGAAACCCUUCUUUUUCUGCACUGUCACUGGGGUUAGGGAUUAUUACUCACUGCAACUUAGCCUAGCAUUAAGUUGCUUGACUAAUACAAGUUUCAAUAAAUGUCGCUUCAUUUCCCAUGG